GGCUAACGUCGGGAACCGCUCUCACCAAUCUGCUCUCCCGGCUUCUGGGGACGGCACCUUCACUGCUGGAACAGCAAUUUAAAACGUGAUUAUAUUUGUUUCCACCAUCUGCAAACUCUGAUUGAUAGGAAAGAACAAAUGAUUAGGUUCCAUUGUUUGCGUUUCUAAGGGCAGGGUUUGAACCCGCCACCUCCGGCAUAUGGGACCGGCGCCCUACUCCUUGAGCCACAGGCACCGCCCUGCAUUUCCAUUCUUAGGAUACUUUGCUAAGAAGAUUAUGCUUCAGCUCCA